UGCCCCAUGGCUGAGUUGGUUACAGCGUCCGACUGUUAAAAUGUGCCGUGCCUUCAAAGAGGCUCGAACACCCCUAGCGAAUCGGAAGGUCGUGAGUUCAAGCCUCACUGGGGCAG